rnacentral:rRNA from 1 species
GACGAACGCUGGCGGCGUGCCUAAUACAUGCAAGUCGAGCGGACUGAUGGGAGCUUGCUCCCUGAAGUUAGCGGCGGACGGGUGAGUAACACGUGGGUAACCUGCCUGUAAGAUUGGGAUAACUCCGGGAAACCGGAGCUAAUACCGGAUAACAUUUUGAACCGCAUGGUUCGAAAUUGAAAGAUGGUUUCGGCUAUCACUUACAGAUGGACCCGCGGCGCAUUAGCUAGUUGGUGAGGUAACGGCUCACCAAGGCAACGAUGCGUAGCCGACCUGAGAGGGUGAUCGGCCACACUGGGACUGAGACACGGCCCAGACUCCUACGGGAGGCAGCAGUAGGGAAUCUUCCGCAAUGGACGAAAGUCUGACGGAGCAACGCCGCGUGAACGAUGAAGGCUUUCGGGUCGUAAAGUUCUGUUGUUAGGGAAGAACAAGUACCAGAGUAACUGCUGGUACCUUGACGGUACCUAACCAGAAAGCCACGGCUAACUACGUGCCAGCGCCGCGGU